UUGCCAAAAAAAAAUAAUAAUAAUAAAUAAAUAAAAAUUAGGGCAAAUCAUUUCAGCCUCCCUAAUCCUCCAUCUCUAUUACAUAUAUAUAUAUAUAAAAUCUUUAACUUGAGGCCAUAAGAAAAGAAAAAUAAAAAAAUAGGCCAAAGCCUCCCCAAUCUCGCUCCAUCUCUGCAACUCCUUCUCAACACUGAACUUGGCCUCUCUCUCUCUCUCUCUCUCUCUCUCUACAAGAAUCAGAAAUUCAAAACCCAUAUAUUUCCAGUUUAUCUAUCUGUUUGCAAGAAUCAAAAGUUCAAACCCGUAUCGAUGUAUCAUUUCAGAUUGUUCAGAAAAUCCAAAACCCAUAUCCUUCAGUUUCCAUGGCUGCUGUUCCAGUUCGGGUCGCCGUUCCAAGCUUCAAUCACCGGCGGUCUCUCUCUCUCUCUCUGCAAUCUUGAGGGUAAAAUUAGCAUCUGAAAUCACCCAUCAAGCCUCUCCUUCCCUUUCCCUUCAUUUCCUCCCAUUUUUGGGAGGUUAAGAAAUCUACUGUUGAAGGCACAAGCUAACCCUCCAAACCCUUCCCUUCACUUCCCUUUCCUUCCAACAAUUUUUGCCAAACACACAUUUUUAAUCCCCCUCCAUCACCUUCCCUUCCCUUUCCUUUCCUCCCUUUUCUACUCUACCAAACUGAUCCUUAGGUAAAGGCCCCAAAAAUCAGAAACCAUGACUUCGUUAAAACUCUCCCUGAGCUUUUCCAACUAAAGUAUGUCCCGUGCCAUUAAAAAAUUUAAAUCACGAAAAUAACCUUAUUAUCUUCAUUUUAUCCUGUAUUUAAGCUUUGUACUCAUCUUCUUCUUAUUCUCCGUCGUCCCAUUCAAUCCAUCAAUGGACUCAAUCGAUUCAGUCCUUCACAUGAUCGUCUCCCUAUUUUGUCUCCACAUUUCAUCUCUGACAUUUGGUCAGAACCCAAACCAAUUCUUCAAAAUUUCUACAAAUGUUUAUGAACAGGAACUGAAAAUGAUGAAAACCCUAAACUUCUUGUUUGGGGAUUAGAUUCGAAGAUGGGCAAAGAAGUGAUCGAAAAUGGGUGAAUACAAAAGAGGGCGGCGACGAAGUCAGAGUGUCGGAGUGGGAGGUGGGUUCGCCGAGUGCUGAGAUUUCUCUUUUUCAGAAACUUUUCUCGCCCACGUCGGCGAUGGUUGGCAUGAAUCAGGCAUUCAUCCAGUCUUUUGGUAAUCGUCGCUCCCUCAGUCCUUUUACACGGGUUGGGUUCGAUCUUUAACUCGCGAGUGUGGCCCUUGUUUGUGCCAUAGCAGGUGACUUAUCACUAUAUUUUUUGAACUAAAUCACAUAAACUAUUUGUGUUCUUGUAUAAUAUUUUGAUUUGUCUAUUAAUUUUUCUCUA